rnacentral:lncRNA from 1 species
GCUGGAACAGCAGCCAGCCUGUCCCAAACCUGGUUCUGCUUUACAUCCAGCCUUGUUUGUGGUUCCUGCUGCAGUGGCAGCUGUGCCUUGGAUCAGGCACAGGACAGAGCAUCUGCUGUGAGAGAAACCUCGAGAAAGAACAGCAUUUUGAAACUCUGUGCUCUUAAGAACCGCUCAGCUGUAACCUAGAAAGGUGCAAAGGGACCCUGUCCUUCAGGAUGAGAAGUACAAGGCACAAGGGCAGCCUGGAGAGAAGAAAUAUUGUCUUCCAUUGACGUUUGUGGGUGAGUCAUUCCCGCUCGCUCUGACUCAGCACCGAGCGCUGCCAUCCUCCCCAGAGCAUCUCCCAGCUCACAGCAGCCCCUGCCCAAAGGACAGAGCCCCUCUGGCUCUGCAGGGCACCCUGGGGGCCCAGAGGGGGCCCUGGCCAAGCAGCUGGGCCUGGGGCAGUGGCUCUGACCCUGACCUCUGUCUGCAGCCGAGUGCUUGGCACAGUCCUGCUGACAUCUGCCUGAAGCCUGGGUUUUCUGGAGUGUACUUGAAAAUCUUCACAGCAAAAUGCCCAAAUGAGACAGGAAAAUCUUUCUGUGAUGUGUAAAUGUGUUGCUGCUCAUUCCAGGUGCUGAUCUGGACCUUCUCCAUAUGCUGGGGGAGGCUGUCUGCAAACUUCUGCCCAUCUCCCGAGCAGCAGGAGCAGCUCCAGCUCUCGGGCUCUGCUGUUGCCAUGGCUGUGCCCCAGUAUAAAGAUCCUAUGGAUGAAAUAGCUCCUUUGUCACAAGGACAUGACUCAGAAGCACAGAAGACAGAACAUCUUGGCAUUAGAGCAGCCACUGUGCUCCAACUAUUUGUAGAAGUUUGUGCUACUGUGGUUGCACCAGCUUCAGACCACAUACUCUUAGUGAGAAGAGGGCCAGGGGCUGGCAUUUUUUAAAUAGAAAUUAGAAAGUCAAAAAAACAUUUAAACAAAGUUCACCCUGACUAUUGCUUCUAGGAAAGCAAAGUCUUAGGCCAUGGGUGAGACUAAAAGCUCAGGGUUUGCACAGUGACAUUUCUCUUGGCUAAAUUACCCAGUAGAAUAUGGUGGUAGUUGCAGAUUUACGUACAGAAUAAAAUUUUCCAAUCUAGUUGUGGUUUUUUUUUU